rnacentral:lncRNA from 1 species
CAAGGUGAACUUCGGGGCGGUGACCAAGGUGUGGGGCGCCUGGGCCGAGUCCGCCGCCGCCGCCGCGUCCGGGGUCAAGGUGCGCGUCUCGGUGCUCGCCAAGUCUGAGUUGGUGGCGGCGGCGGCCGAGCCCAAGAGCCCGGUCGCCCUGGCAGCCUUCGACGGCUUCUUCUCUGCUUAACGAGUAGUGUGUGAAUUGAUUCGGAGGAGUUUACCUCUCCCCCAGUGUCAUGUACUGUAACUCCGAUGUGUACAUAACCGUGUGGUUUGCUGAUUUGCAACAAGGAAGAAGUGUGCUUUUUGUACCGCUCUUGGUACCUUCUUGGAGGGCAGAUAUGCCUAUGCGUUUUGCCAUUUUAUCUUUGAAAUUUCGUGUCAAGCUGCCAACAGACUAGUCUGGUUGUCUUGGCAUACUCGAGUGGUUUUGCCGACUGCUGAUGCUUGUUUGAAGCCCCAACCUUCAUCCAAUCCCUUCAAAUCUUUAUUUAUCCCUAAUACAUUAGGUAGAAGUAGUGUAUUGAGUAUUGAGAAAAAUGCAUUAUAAUUUGAGGAGAAAUAUGGGGAUGAAACAUGUCAAAUACACUAGAAUAAAAUGGUGUUAUGGGAUGUGUGGUGAUCGAGUAGUUUGACCAGAAUAAUCCCCAUAAAUUUCCUAAAAUACACUAGUACCAACGAGUAGUUUGACCAGAAUAAUCCCCAUAAAUUUCCUAAAAUACACUAGUACCAAACAAGUCCUUGAUGGUGGCACCCCGACACAGCAAUAGCUCAUCAUAUGAAACCAAAAUGGGGUUAUUAUGGCCCGGUUUAAAGGCGUUAAACAGGGAUGCAAACAUGUUCGCCAAAUCAGCGGCGAUGAGGACCGAAGACCGCCGCGUCAAGUGGCAGGGCUGAAACCGCAUCACCUCCAUACAGGUUUACUAGAUGUGAGAAAAUUCGUUUGGUAGCGUACACGGAGGUCUAGUUUGCACUCACACGAAUCAUAAAGCAGCUCAUAGCAUGGCUAGUUAGAGCAUCUUCAACAAACGAGGCUGGGCGCGCGUAACGACCGUUUUUGCGACGCUGCAAAUUUUUAACACGUCAACAUGUCGCUUCAACAGACGCUAUAACAAAUCAAGCGCGCGUUCAGCUGAUGCACAUAUAAGAUGAUCAAACAUUCAAAAUAUGCAAAGUUUGCACAAACAAAAUGAGCACAAGCAAGUUCAUGACAAACAAGUUCACACAAAUAAAUUAAACAUGAACAAUCAUUCUUCAUCCUCUUCUUUCCGCAAAAAAGAAAAAUUCUUUAUCCUCUUCCUCAUCGUUGGCCUCUUUCGAUUUGUCCGUUUCUUCUUCUGAUUUUUCAUCCUCUUGUUUGUUCUCUUUCUCAUUGAAAAGUCGAAUGGUGUUUGAACUAUCAAUAAAGUAGCAGUUCAUAGCAUGGCUAGUUAGAGCAUCUUCAACAAACGAGGCUAGGCACGCGUAACGACCGUUUUUGUGCUUCAUCAGACGCUGCAAAUUUUUAACACGUCAACAGACGCUAUAACAAAUCAAGCGCGCGUUCAGCUGACGCACAUAUAAGAUGAUCAAACAUUCAAAAUAUGCAAAGUUUGCACAAACAAAAUAAGCACAAGCAAGUUCAUGACAAACAAGUUCACACAAAUAAAUUAAACAUGAACAAUCAUUCUUCAUCCUCUUCUUUCUGCAAAAAAAAUAAUUCUUUAUCCUCUUCCUCAUCGUUGGCCUCUUUCGAUUUGUCCGUUUCUUCUUCUGAUUUUUCAAUCUCUUGUUUGUUCUCCUUUUCAUUGAAAAGUCGAACGGUGUUUGAACUAUCAAUAAAGGUAUCAUACAAGGCAUGUGAGGCACACCGAAAACUCCCAUCCAUCCAUGCCAUCGAAAGCAUGUGAGAACAACUAUGCCAUCGAAAGCAUGUGAGAACAACUAAAAUCAGACUACAUAUGCGCACAUUUGCCAACAACAACAAAAUAAAAACAAAAAUUGUACCUUGUGAGCAUUUCAUCAAGGAUUAUGUGUGCAUUGGCCGCCGACGCAACAAAUUGCGAGGUUUUCACCGCUUCGCGCGGCGGAGGUACGGCCGGCUUCACUCGUGUCUUCUUCUUUAUUACCGCUUUCCNNNNNNNNNNNNNNNNNNNNNNNNNNNNNNNNNNNNNNNNNNNNNNNNNNNNNNNNNNNNNNNNNNNNNNNNNNNNNNNNNNNNNNNNNNNNNNNNNNNNUUGAGGGCCAAGGCAGGAGAGCCACACGGGGCCCACAAGCCCUGUAGCCGCCACCACGGGGGGGGGGGGCUACCAGUCUUGUGGACCCCCUGGAGCUCCCCUGCCCUAGCUCUUUCGCCUAUAAAUUCCCUAAAAUCCCAGAAAAAAAUCAGGGCAUCCACGAAAACACUUUUCCGCCGCCGCAAGCUUCCGUUUCCGCGAUAUCUCAUCUGGAGACCCUUCCCGGUGCCCUGCCGAAGGGGACUUUGGAGUUGGAGGGCUUCUACAUCAACAUCAUCACCUCUCCAAUGACUCGUGAGUAGUCCACUUCAGACCUACACGUCCGUAGCUAGUAGCUAGAUGGAUUCUUCUCUCUCUUGGAUCUUCAAUACAAAGUUCUCCAUGAUCUUCAUGGAGAUCUAUCCUAUGUAAUCCUCUUUGGUGGUGUGUUUGUCGAGAUCCGAUGAAUUGUGGAUUUGUGAUCAGAUUAUCUAUGAAUUGUAUUUGAGUCUUUGCUGAUUUCUUAUAUGAUGAUUUGAUAUCCUUGUAAGUCUCUCCGAGUCUUGGUUUUGUUUGGCCAACUAGAUCUAUGAUUCUUGCAAUGGGAGAAGUGCUUGGUUUUGGGUUCAUACCGUGUGGUGACCUUUCCCAGUGACAGAAGGGGCAGCAAGGCACACAUCAUGUUGUUGCCAUCAAGGGUAAUAAGAUGGGCUUUUAUCAUAGAUAUGAGAUUGUCCAUCUACAUCAUGUCAUCUUGCUUAAGGCGUUACUCUGUUCUUAUGAACCUAAAACACUAGAUGCAUGCUGGAUAGCGGUCGACGUGUGGAGUAAUAGUAGUAGAUGCAGAAAGUAUCGGUCUACUUGCUUUGGACGUGAUGCCUAUAGAUAUAAUCAUUGCCAUAGAUAACAUCACGACUUUGCGCGGUUCUAUCAAUUGCUCGACAGUAAUCCGUUCACCCACGGUCUAAUUGCUUUCAUGAGAGAAGCCACUAGUGAACACCACGGCCCCGGGUCUAUCCAUAACUAUCGUCUCCACUUCCACUUUUACUUUGCUUUUUUACCUUUUUGCUUUCAGUUCUCACUUUGCAAACAAUCUAUAAGGGAUUGACAACCCCUUCAUAGCGUUGGGUGCAAGCUCUUUGUGUUUGUGCAGGUACUUGUGACUCGACGCGAUCCUCCCACUGGAUCGAUACCUUGGUUCUCAAACUGAGGGAAAUACUUACCGCCGCUGUGCUACAUCACCCUUUCCUCUUCAAGGGAACACCAACACAAGGCUCCAAGGCCGCGGGGAAAUCCUUUGCAUAUUUGCCAAGGAAGUCCCUAUAGGCGUAGCCAGUAGCAGCAGGAUUCCUGGCGCCGUUGUCAGGGAAGGUCUGUUGUCACAGUAGCAGAAGGAUUUCUAGAGCCGUUGCCGGGGAGGAGGAUCGCUUGCCGAGGAGUAUCAAGACAAGAAUAAUCUCCCGUCAACACGCCUAUUUCUAGCAUGGGGAAGGGAGAUCAAGUCAAGAUCUAUCAAAGUAGGUGUCACAAACUCAUCUCUUGCAUUUACUUUUUUUGCCAGUUGCCUCUCGUUUUCCUCUCCCCCACUUCACAUUUGCCGUUUUCAUUUGCCUUUCUCCUUUGCCGUUUUAUUUUUCCUUUUCUCCUUUGCCGUUUUCAUUUGCCUUUCUCCUUUGCCGUUUUCUUUUUUCCUUUUGCCGUUCUCUUUUGCCCGUUUCACUCACUUUCUUCCUGCUCGUUUGUGUGUGGGAUAGUCCAUCAAUGGCUAGACCCACCACUCCAAACGAUACCCCUGAGAACGAAGUUCUCAGUUUCAAGCAGAAUGAGGAAGAAAAUUUAAAGGACACUUGGUACAGGAUUUGCAAUGCUCAAAGUAGAUCUACUCGUAAGCAGUCCACUACCGUUCUUCUUCGCAGUUCUUAUGUUGGAAUCUCUCCUUGGAAUAGGUAUAUUCUUGAUACCAUCGUAGGCGGGAAUUUUUUGGGGAUCCAUACCGUUGACUCCUAUGGAGCUAUCAUGAAUUUGGUAGGCUCACCCCCGCUCAUGGUUAAUGGAACUACCUUGACCUUGGAACACGUGAUGCAAAGGCUUGACGCUAUUGAAAACAAAAUUGCCACAAUUGAAUUUAUUGAGGGUUUGGAUGGAAAGAUCCACAAUCAAAUUACUCAGUACGGAUCCAAAGUGGGAAUGGUUUUGAAAAAUUUAAGGGAGAAGGAACCUAUAGUUAAUGAUUCCUCUAGAAUUGGCAAACUAGAAGAUGUCAUAACCAACUUGGGUUGUGCUUUUGCCGCUGUGCAAAAUACUCCAAAUCUCACUCUCAAAAAGACCGUCAAGUCUGUUUUUGUUCCUAAAGCUAGUGGUGAGUCAUCCAAUAAAUAUGAAGACCUUAAGAUGAUAAAUGAUCACGCUACUUAUGGUUUGAGCACCAAAGAUGACUAUACGUGAUUCCAUCACCUUUUGCCUAGCUAAGGGCGUUAAACAAUAGCGCAUGUUGGGAGGCAACCCAACGAAUCUAUCAUUUUUCUUUCUAUUUUGUGUUUUCCACACUUUCAUAAUUCUGUUAUGAUUGUGUUUUUUGUGUUUCUUUUUGCGUUUGUGCCAAGUGAAACCGUUAUGAUUAAUCUUGGGGAUGAUCGUUUGGUCAUGCUGGAAAAGACAGAAACUUUCUGUUAACGAAAAGAAUUUUCAUUUUUUUUAUGUAAGAGAUUUUGAGUUGAUUCUUUUUUGCUUCUGAUUGCUACGCACAUUCUUCAGACUGUUGUAAUUUUUCAGAAUUUUGGAAGUACCAGAAGUAUACGAAGUAUACAGAUUGCUACAGACUGGUCUGCUGUUAACAGAUUCUGUUUUUGUUGAGUUGGUUGCUUAUUUUGAUGAAACUAUGGAUAGUACCGGGGGGUAUUAGCCAUGGAAGAUUGAAAAUACAGUAACCCAACAUCAACAUAAGUAGAAUUUAUUAAGUUUUCUACAGUACCUAAGGAAGUGGUGGUUUGCUUUCUUAUACUAAUGAUAUCACGAGUUUCUGUUUAAAUUUCGUGUUGUGAAGUUUUCAAGUUUUGGGUGAAGUUCUUAUGGACAAAGAGAUAAAGAGUGGCAAGAUCUCAAGCUUGGGGAUGCCCAAGGCACCCCAAGUUGAUUCAAGGAUGCCGUAAAAGCCUAAGCUUGGGGAUGCCCCGGGAAGGCAUCCCCUNNNNNNNNNNNNNNNNNNNNNNNNNNNNNNNNNNNNNNNNNNNNNNNNNNNNNNNNNNNNNNNNNNNNNNNNNNNNNNNNNNNNNNNNNNNNNNNNNNNNUUGAGGGCCAAGGCAGGAGAGCCACAGGGGGCCCACAAGCCCUGUAGCCGCCACCAGGGGGGCCGGCGGCUACCAGGCUUGUGCCCGCCUGGAGCUCCCCUGCCCUAGCUCUUUCGCCUAUAAAUUCCCUAAAAUCCCAGAAAAUAUUAGGGCAUCCACGAAAACACUUUUCCGCCGCCGCAAGCUUCCGUUUCCGCGAGAUCUCAUCUGGAGACCCUUCUCGGUGCCCUGCCGGAGGGGACUUUGGAGUUGGAGGGCUUCUACAUCAACAUCAUCGCCUCUCCAAUGACUCGUGAGUAGUCCACUUCAGACCUACGGGUUCGUAGUUAGUAGCUAGAUGGCUUCUUCUCUCUCUUGGAUCUUCAAUACAAAGUUCCCCAUGAUCUUCAUGGAGAUCUAUCCGAUGUAAUCCUCUUUGGCGGUGUGUUUGUCGAGAUCCGAUGAAUUGUGGAUUUGUGAUCAGAUUAUCUAUGAAUUAUAUUUGAGUCUUUGCUGAUUUCUUAUAUGCAAGAUUUGAUAUCCUUGUAAGUCUCUCCGAGUCUUGGGUUUUGUUUGGCCAACUAGAUCUAUGAUUCUUGCAAUGGGAGAAGUGCUUGGUUUUCGGUUCAUACCGUGUGGUGACCUUUCCCAGUGACACAAGGGGCAGCAAGGCACGCAUCAUGUUGUUGCCAUCAAGGGUAACAAGAUGGGCUUUUAUCAUAGAUAUGAGAUUGUCCAUCUACAUCAUGUCAUCUUGCUUAAGGCGUUACUCUGUGAUACGUCUCCAUCGUAUCAACUUUUCCAAACUCUUUUGCCCUUGUUUUGGACUCUAAUUUGCAUGAUUUGAAUGGAACUAACCCGCACUGACGCUGUUUUCAGCAGAAUUGCCAUGAUGUUGUUUUUGUGCAGAAAUGGAAGUUCUCAGAACGUCCUGAAAAAUUACGUNAUACGUCUCCAUCGUAUCAACUUUUCCAAACUCUUUUGCCCUUGUUUUGGACUCUAAUUUGCAUGAUUUGAAUGGAACUAACCCGCACUGACGCUGUUUUCAGCAGAAUUGCCAUGAUGUUGUUUUUGUGCAGAAAUGGAAGUUCUCAGAACGUCCUGAAAAAUUACGUAGAAUUUUUCUGGAAAAUAUGAAAAAUACGUGCGCAAAGAUCCAUCGGAGGGGAUGGGCCAGUGGGCCACAAGCCCUGUUGCCGCGGCCUCCCCCAUGGCCGCGGCGACCAAGCUUGUGGGGCCCACGUGGGUCUGCCGCCCCCAACUCCAGCUCUAUAAAUUCACUUUCUUUCCGAAAAAAGUCAGAAGAGAAGAUUUCAUCGCGUUUGCGAUACAGAGGCGCCGCCACAUCUUGUUCUUCAUCUGGAGGGCAGAUCUGGAGUCCGUUUUGGGCUCCGGAGAGGGGAAAUCGUCGCCAUCGUCAUCAUCAACCUUCUUCCCUCUCCAAUUCCAUGAAGCUCUUCAUCGUUCGUGAGUAAUCUAUUCGUAGGCUCGCUAGGCGGUGAUGAGUAGGAUGAGAUCUAUCUUGUAAUCGAGUUAGUUUUGACGGGGAUUGAUCCCUAGUAUCCACUAUGUUCUGAGAUUGAUGUUGCUACUACUUUGCCAUGCUUAAUACUUGUCACUAGGGUCCGAGUGCCUGAUUUCAGAUCUCAAAUUAUUAUGUUGUCACCAAUAUAUGUGUGUUUUAGAUCCGAUCUUGCAGGUUGUAGUUACCUACUAUGUGUUAUGACCCGACAACCCCGGAGUGACAAUAACCGGAACCACUCCCGGUGAUGACCGUAAUUUGAGGAGUUCAUGUGUUCACCAAGUGCUAAUGCGUUGUUCCGGUACUUUAUUAAAAGGAGAACCUUAAUAUCCCGUAGUAUCCUUUUGGACCCCGCUGCCACGGGAGGGAUGGACAAUAGAUGUCAUGCAAGUUCUUUUCCCUAAGCACGUAUGACUACACACGGAAUGCAUGCCUACAUCACAUUGACGAACGGGAGCUAGCCACAUAUCUCUCCGUGUUAUAACUGUUGCAUGAUGAAUGUCAUCCAAACGAAUCACCGACCCAUUGCCUACGGGUUUGUCCCACUGCUGCUGUUACUUGUUUUGCUCUGCUGCUAUUACUACUGUUGCUGCUACUGUUACUUGCUUUGCUCUGCUGCUGUCACCACUGUUGCUACUGUUGCUACUUGCUACUGCUAUUACUUGCUACUGUUGCUACUUGCUACUGCUAUCACUACUGCUGUUCCUUGCCACCGCUGAUACUCGUUACACUGCUACUACUUGCUAGAAUACCUUUUUUCUUGCGCCGUUGACGGGAAAGAAUAUUUUCCGUCCACGGUCAACUUCUGGCGCCAUUGAUAUGACCGUUAGGAAUAGUCUGCCAUCAACAAAUCGUUUCUGACACUGUUGUUAUCAUACUACUUUGUUGCUGAUACUUUGCUUGCAGAUACUAAUCUUUCAGGUGCGGUUGAAUCUGACACAUUCAGCUGCUAAUACUUGAGAGUAUCCUUUCACUUCCUGACGGGCGAACCAACAAAUUUGGGUUGAAUACUCUACCCUCGAAAACUGUCGUGAACCCAUGCGCUGGUGGGCCAUUGCAAGACAAUUGCUAAUUGUUGAGCAACUCGGAGCAAUUCUGGCUCUGUUGUCGCGAAGGCAUCAAUUCAGGGACACGUCAACAACAUUCUUCUAGUGUCGUUGCCGGGGACUGCCGUCAGCAGCAUUUUUUUGGCACCGUUGCCGGGGUAGGGAUUGCUAUAUUCUCUGAGUCACUUGGGAUUUAUAUCUGCUGAUCACUAUGAAGAAUCUGAAAGACCCAGAAACCAAAGUCUUGCCCUCAACUACGAGGGGAGGUAAGGAACUGCCAUCUAGCUCUGCACUUGAUUCACCUUCAGUUAUGAGUAAGUUUGCGACAUCACCUCCUUCUAGAAAUCUUGAUAUGUCGCCUGUGCUUGAUGAUGCUUAUGAUGCUACUGCUAGAGAUGCUAUGCCUGAUACUGCUAGAGAUGCUAUGCCUGAUACUGCUUUGCCUGAUGAUGCUAGAGAUGCUAUUUUGCCUGAUGAUGCUAUGCUUGAUACUGCUAGAGAUACUACUUUGCCUGAUGUGCCACUAGGGGUAUUCCUUGAUGCUCAUAUUGCUAGAGUUACUGCCAAUGCUCGUGAUGCUUCUGAAACUGCCGAUACUAUUGAGAUAGAACCUGCUUUUGCUCCUGCUAGAUCUAGCUCUCCUAGAUAUGAAUUGCCUGAUAUACUUGAGGGUUACGUUAUGGAGGGAGAGAUAGCUGAGGAUUUUCUUGCGUGUAAGGAUACCUAUGACACUGAGAAAUUACUUCUCAAGUGGAAGGAAAAAUCUCUGAAAGCUAGGAUGAAAUACGACCCGAAGUUUGCCACUUCACCUAUCUUUAUCACCGAUAAGGAUUAUGAAUUCGCCCUAUAGNNNNNNNNNNNNNNNNNNNNNNNNNNNNNNNNNNNNNNNNNNNNNNNNNNNNNNNNNNNNNNNNNNNNNNNNNNNNNNNNNNNNNNNNNNNNNNNNNNNNAGAGAAACUUACCUGCGCUCACCUGAAGCGGCCCAGCCCAUCAGGGGCACCACUGUCUUCUUCCUCCUCCCAGGAGGAGAAGCAGUUGCGUGCCCGACGCAUCGCCGGGCACCGCCACGUCCCCUAGCCACCUCCUGCUCGCCCCCGUCCUUAUCUCCUCGCCCGUGGAUGCCCCAGACCCCCCCUUGAGCUCAUCCUCCUCUCCUCUCUCUAGGUUCCCCUUCUCUCUCUCUGCUUUCCCUCGUUGCCUCCAUUGCCGAGCUAGAGCUCGAGCUCGCCUCUCUGGUCUCCGGCCUUCCCUCGCCUCUCCGAGAAGCCCAGAAGGACCGCCCCGAUGCCCUGCUCCUCCUCGCCAUUGGAAUCGAGCCCGGACGACCCCUGUCGUCGCCAUCGCCGUUGUCUUCCUCACCUCCGGCCACCGGCCCCCUUCCAUCGAUUCACCCCCUCCGACGCGACCCCGACCUCCCCGUCACCGCAAAUGGAACCGUCGUGAGCUCACCGUCAUUUCCCCUCUCUUUCCACGUUCUCCCGUGCCGUGUAGCCCCGCUCCCCGCCACGGCCGAACCCCGCCGCCGCUUAGGCUCGUCGCCGGCACCUCUCCGGCGACCUAGCCCCCCCUUCGAGCCCCCUGUGCGAUGUGGUCGAGCCUGGGCUACGCCCAAGUGCUCUCAGCGCUUGUUUCCGGCCCCUGUAGUGCCAUCUAGGCAACUCCGGCGAGCCCUCCGCCGCGGGCUUGGUCGCCAACGACCACCCUCCGGUGAGGGCCAACGUGGCCAGUCGUUAGCCAGUACUAACCCCCCCCCCCAGAGCCACUGCCAGAGGGCCCCACGCCUGGUCAAACCCCAAUUAGGGGCUGGUCAGCGCGGGGUUAGCCUCUGGGUCACUGACCAGUGGGCCCCACUGGUCAGGGUUUGACCUGGCCGGCCAGUUGAACUGCUGACGUCAGUACUGAUGCAAUAUUAGUAUUUCUGUUUAUAAAAUAAAUCCAGGAAAUUGCUAAAACUUGUAAAAAUCAUAGAAAUUAAAAUAUAACUCGGAUGAAAAUAAUUUAUAUAUGAAAAAGUAUCAGAAAAAUCCAAGGAAUCUGAUUAUGGCAUUUUCNNNNNNNNNNNNNNNNNNNNNNNNNNNNNNNNNNNNNNNNNNNNNNNNNNNNNNNNNNNNNNNNNNNNNNNNNNNNNNNNNNNNNNNNNNNNNNNNNNNNACUCACUAUAGGGCGGGCAACAUAUUUUAAAAACACCGACAACCGACCGACGGUAGACCGAAUACGGUGCCGCUACGGUCGACCGUUCGGGUACUAGACGGACUCCGAUUGCGAUGAAACUUGACACGCGGCCUACCUAUAUUAAAAUACGACCGCACGUCAAAUAUCAACCCAAUCAGAGAAGGUUUUAUGCACACUUUUAAAACAAGGUUUUGACGAUGCCGCGGGCGCGUGCGUGUGCGGUCGGGCUCAGAACGGACAACGACGAGAACCGGCAACAAACAACGGAUGCAAGUUUUGGAAACUGGCGGCAACGGAGAUGCCGAUGCAAUGCAGAUGAUGCGCAUGAUGCGAUGAUGAUGCAGCAAAAGAAAAUAGACACACGACGAAAACGGAAUAGAAGGGGAAUCUUCUGGAACGUCGGCCUCGGGCUGUCACAACUCUCCUACACUAUAAGAGGAUCUCGCCCCGAGAUCCAAGAAUGAAAGGAAGAGGGGAUAAGAAAGCAAGAGGUAAAACUUAAUCGCUUCUUUGACAAAUGAGUGAAACCAACAUCCUUGAAGGUUGCAAAGAGAUGAGGAAUGAUAAGAGAAACAAGCAAGAAUUCACGGAAAAUUUCGGCAGCACUUCGGUAGGAAAAUGGGACAAAAAAUUCGAUAAGAUAGGAGAAAUAGACAAUAUUCAUUACAAACAACUAAAUAGAACAAGGGAACACUAUGAUCUUGGUAGACCAACAUAAUAGACCCAAAAGAGCAACAUCACAAUGCCUCCGGAACAAUAGAAUAGGAACUAGCUCAUACGGAAGAAGAGAAUGAAGAGAGAAUGACAACUACUCACUCCAAUGAACUUGGCAAGCAUCCUUGCAAGAAGAAUUGGACGGAGUUGUUGGAAAACAACAGCGAAAGAACAAGAAAGUAGUGGGCUUAUGGAAACCUUUUCAAACUAAUGAAGUGACAACCAGCCACUAACAGAACAAGGAUUGAUUGGGAGAAACAAGAUAUGAACAAUUCCUUACACCAAGAGGAUACAUUGAGAACUUGGAUUAAUGACAAGCACCAUGAUAGCAACAAUCCAUAGGAAAAUCUUUAGGUGAAAUCCAAACCAAGAUAGCUCAAUGAAGAAAUCAUGGGUUGAAAACAUCUCAUGAUCAUAGAAUUGGUGGGUUUAAUUAUCUCAUUCUUGAAAGGAAAUCUCUUCGAAACUCCUACACUAACAAGAAUGCUAUAAUACCACCUCAAAGGAUAAAGGAGAACAAUUGCACAUAGAAAUGCAAGAGAAGAAAACUUGAGGUUCUCCAAUAAGAAUCUUGAAGAACACUUUGAGAAUGAAUUGACAUCAUGAGCCGCUCCGGAAGAAGAAUUCAGAUUACUAUGAACAAGAAUAAGAAUUAUGUUAUGCUUAUCCUUCAUCAAAUUAAGUUGAUGAGAAGCAACGGAUUUAGCAUACCACUUAUUCUUCUUGAAAGAACCUUGAAGAGAUAGAGAGAUAAGCACCACUUGAAGCACAAUUGAAUGAAGCACCGGCAAGAAUUCGAGCUCNNNNNNNNNNNNNNNNNNNNNNNNNNNNNNNNNNNNNNNNNNNNNNNNNNNNNNNNNNNNNNNNNNNNNNNNNNNNNNNNNNNNNNNNNNNNNNNNNNNNGAGAUUUGAAAACAAGCGGGGCAACUGGACUACGGGGUCAGAGGGGAUGACUGCUCCACCUAUACUAAGCAGAUUUAAAGUACAGGACUGAAAGUAGCAGUUCAUCAAAAAUAGGUUAUGCAUCAGAUAUAGGAGCUAACUACAACAGUAGCAAAAUACUAAUGCAAGCAGUAGGAAGAAAGACAUAGGCAAUAUAGGAAUGAUCAAGGGGGGGUUUGCUUGCCUUGCUGCUCUGCGGCAAAGGACUGAUCGGCAGGGUCAUAGAUGUACCCGGCAGCAGAGUCAGUCUCGGGGCCUACCGGUAAGAAGAGGGGGAAGAAACAAUAAAUAAUAGCAACGGUGUGUUGGAAUUAUGCCCUAGAGGCAAUAAUAAAUAUAGUUAUUAUUAUAAUUCAUGUAUCAAGAUAACCGUUUAUUAUCCAUGCUAUAAUUGUAUUGAAUGAAGACUUAUAUACAUGUGUGGAUACAUAGACAAAACACUGCCCCUAGCAAGCCUCUAGUUGGCUAGCCAGUUGAUCAAAGAUAGUCACUGUCUUCUGAUUAUGAACAAGGUGUUGUUGCUUGAUAACUGGAUCACGUCAUUAGGAGAAUCACGUGAUGGACUAGACCCAAACUAAUAGACGUAGCAUGUUGAUCGUGUCAUUUUGUUGCUACUGUUUUCUGCGUGUCAAGUAUUUGUUCCUAUGACCAUGAGAUCAUAUAACUCACUGACACCGGAGGAAUACUUUGUGAGUAUCAAACGUCGCAACGUAACUGGGUGACUAUAAAGAUGCUCUACAGGUAUCUCCGAAGGUGUUCGUUGAGUUAGUAUGGAUCGAGACUAGGAUUUGUCACUCCGUGUGACGGAGAGGUAUCUUGGGGCCCACUCGGUAAUACAACAUCACACACAAGCCUUGCAAGCAAUGUGACUUAAUGUAAGUUGCGGGAUCUUGUAUUACGGAACGAGUAAAGAGACUUGCCGAUAAACGAGAUUGAAAUAGGUAUACGGAUACUGACGAUCGAAUCUCGGGCAAGUAACAUACCGAAGGACAAAGGGAAUGACAUACGGGAUUAUAUGAAUCCUUGGCACUGAGGUUCAAACGAUAAGAUCUUCGUAGAAUAUGUAGGAUCCAAUAUGGGCAUCUAGGUCCCGCUAUUGGAUAUUGACCGAGGAGUCUCUCGGGUCAUGUCUACAUAGUUCUCGAACUCGCAGGGUCUGCACACUUAAGGUUCGACGUUGUUUUAUGCGUAUUUGAGUUAUAUGGUUGGUUACCGAAUGUUGUUCGGAGUCCCGAAUGAGAUCACGGACGUCACGAGGGUUUCCGGAAUGGUCCAGAAACGAAGAUUGAUAUAUAGGAUGACCUCAUUUGAUUACCGGAAGGUUUUCGGAGUUACCGGGAAUGUACCGGGAAUGACGAAUGGGUUCUGGGAGUUCACCGGGUGGCAACCCACCCCGGGGAAGCCCAUAGGCCUUGGGGGUGGCACACCAGCCCUUAGUGGGCUGGUGGGACAGCCCAAGAAGGCCCUAUACGCCAUGGGAAGAAAAUCAAAGAGAAAAGAAAAAAAAGGAGGAGGUNNNNNNNNNNNNNNNNNNNNNNNNNNNNNNNNNNNNNNNNNNNNNNNNNNNNNNNNNNNNNNNNNNNNNNNNNNNNNNNNNNNNNNNNNNNNNNNNNNNNUCAACAGCGGCUAAGCAUAUAUUUGGUGGCUAACUUACGAGUACAAGAAAUAAUAGGGAAGAUCUACGCAUAACGGACGUGAGCUACUGAUGAUCAAAAGAAUGAUCCUGAACACCUACCUACGUCAGACAUAACCCCACCGUGUCCUCGAUCGGAGCAGGGCUCACGAAAGAGACAGUCACGGUUACGCACACAGUUGGCAAGUUUUAAUUAAGUUAACUUCAAGUUAUCUAGAACCGGUGUUAAACAAAGCUUCCACGUUGCCACAUAACCGCGGGCACGGCUUUCCGAAAGAUUUAACCCUGCAGAGGUGCUCCAACUAGUCCAUCACAAAUUACCACAAGCCGCAUAGAAAUCCUCAAUCACGAAGCUCGCGAUCUCGUCGGAUUCCCUAGUGGAAAACCUCAACUGUGAGAUUACCCAAAGCAUCACCGGAAUCCCGAUGCACAAGAUAUCUCGUCAAAGGUAAAACUAAUCCAGCAAGGCCGCCCGACGUGUCGACGAUCCCGAUAUGAGUCGCGUACCUCGUUCUCAGGACACGACGGAUGAGCGAUGGUUACCACGCCAAACGCCGAGUUGCCCCGGGUAGCAUUAAUAAGCUGCUCUGUUUUGGACCAACACUCAUGAGGAGCACUGGCCCGGGGGUUUAUUAAAAUAGUCCGCGGGUGCCGGCGGGUCCCUAUGCAUUAUUAUUAGGUUAUUAGGCAAAUGUAGUACCAAAGUUGGGCCUUGCCAGACCAGCUUUAAUCUAAAACGAAUUAUCAAGGGGGUCCCCAUAACAACCCCGAUCGUGUUAGGAGCGCUCAAUUAUGGAACAUAACACCGGUAGCCGGAAACUAAGGGGGCAAAGGUGGAACAAAACACCAGGCUAGAAAGGCCGAGCCUUCCACCUUUUACCAAGUAUAUAGGUGCAUUAAAUUAAAUAGCAUUUAAAUAUGGUGAUAUAACAAGGAACCCAUGUAAUCACAUGGAAUCAACUGCACCUGCAACUAGCAACGCUAUCAACAGGGUUAAGCUAGCAGUAACAUAGCCAAUAAGUGGUUUGCUAGGUCGAACAGGUUGAAGGUUUCAUGGCAUUGUUGAGAGGCUAAUAUUUAACAUGUGGUAGGCAACGAGACAUAAACGGUAGCAACGGUAAAACUAGCAUGGCAAUGAUAGUAAUGGUAUCUGGGGAAAUGGUCAUCUUGCCUGAGAUCCCGCUUGGAAGAAGAACAUCUCUGUGAAGCAGGCGAACCAACGUAGUCGAACGGGUCCUCACAUUCCGACACGCUUGCGGAACUCUAUCGAGACGGAGCAAACCGGAAACAAAUAUCAACACAGAUAUUCACCACACGAUGCACAACAUGAUGCAUACCCUAAUAUGAUGCAUGAUCAAUUCAAUAUGCAAGGGAUGGCAUGGCAAAUCACCUCACGCAAACACUACACAUCAAUUGAAGCUCGAUAUGCAACGGGUUACAUACCGACGAAACUCCACGAUUAAUUAUUUAGUUCACUCCCGUUUAUUUACACGGCAACAUUAAAUGUUGUUAACAUGGCAAGGGGUGAAGCGAUGAUCCUACGUGUCAUCCUAGUCGGUUUAACUCGCGGAACAAGAGCGGAACUACGGCACGGGAGACAUGCAACACAAGAUCAUAUGCCAUGAAUGCGUCAUGCACGCAAGUUCAAACAUCACGGGCAAGAAGAGAAGGAAACAUGUGUCGCCACGGCAAGCGAGAGGGAACCAUGGCGGCAAGACGGAAACGAAGCCACGACAACGUUCCCAUCCCGAUACUCGUCGAGAUAUCGUGCCAACGAUCUGGAAGCGUGUGCGGGAUCACUAAAUAAGAAUGGGGUGAUCCCGUAUAUCGGGUUCCCAUGUGUCGAGGCACGACGAAAGAAGACAACGGGCAACGGGCCACAUACGGUGCAAACAUACAUUCAACUCAUACAACACAUGCAUACGGUUCUCGACGCGUACCAACGGUAUACNNNNNNNNNNNNNNNNNNNNNNNNNNNNNNNNNNNNNNNNNNNNNNNNNNNNNNNNNNNNNNNNNNNNNNNNNNNNNNNNNNNNNNNNNNNNNNNNNNNNNGUCGUGUGAUUAGAUUUAUUCGUUGCAUCGUCAUGUAGUUUGCAUCAUCGCAUCAUGCAUGGCAUCAUGUCAACUGUGUUUAGUCGGUGUCGCCUGCUGCUCCGUGUUGUUGGGUGAUAGUGCUUCAUGAGUGGCGUUGUUUUGUUGGAGUGAUGAAAGAGGGUGCGUGAGAGCCACCGCUAAGCCCUGUUGCACCGCGGACCUAAAACCUUCUCUCCCCUCUCAUUUCCUUUUUGUGGUUUGGCUAAAUACUUUAGUUUAGUUCCCUAUUUUAAAAAUUAAAGAUUCGUCUUCUUUUAAAGAAAAAACAUUUUAUUAAAUGUGGAGGCAACCCCUUGAGUUUUCUUCAUUUUCUCCUUUUGUUUUAUCUUUAAACAAUCUCAUUUUCUUAUCUCUUUUAAAGAACUUUUAUUUUACACUUUAAAUAAAAUAGGUUUAUUUUAUUCUUUUAAAAAAGGGUUUUGAUUUUUAAUUCUUUAAAAGGUUUCAUUUUACUCUUCGAAAAGGUUUCAUUUUUAUUUGUUUAAAGAGCCCGAUCUAUUUUUAUAGUUGGAGCAUGUUUUAAGGAGCCCAAAAGUAUUUUUGUUUUAGUAAAUUCCUUUUCUUCUGGUUGUGGGUUCCUCUUUUUUUUUUAAAAACCAGCUAUUUUAUUUUUUUGUGCAAGACAUUUUUUUAUUUUAGAAGGAGAGGACCCAGACCAAGGCCCAGCCGGCCAAGGCCCAGGCCCCCUCCAACCCUAGCGUCGUGCUGCGCCUCUCCCUCGUCACCCACAGCGCCGUCUCCUCCCGAUUCUCGUCUCCUCGUUCCCUGCUCCGCCCUGCCGCCUCCAGGUCCCCUUGCCUCGCCGUGGCCACCUCCCUCGCCCUCUCUUCUCCCCUCUACGCGCCGCCAGCCCCAGGCCCGAGCCGCACCGCCCUGCCAGCGCCGAGCCCCCUGCUCGCCGGCCUCCCCUGGUCCUCCUCGCCAUGCGGUCUCCCGCGCGCAGCCGUCCAUCUGCACGUCGAGCCGCCUCUCUGCUCCCCGUCCCCUGCGCCCGCAUCGCCGCCGGUGCCCGACCUGCGCGCCGCCCUCGCCCCCGAGUUCCCCGCGUGCUCGCCCUCGGCCUCGAGCUCGCCGCCCCGGUCGCAGCCUCCCUGCCAUGGCGACCUCGCCGUUCCCCGCGUCGCCCCUCNNNNNNNNNNNNNNNNNNNNNNNNNNNNNNNNNNNNNNNNNNNNNNNNNNNNNNNNNNNNNNNNNNNNNNNNNNNNNNNNNNNNNNNNNNNNNNNNNNNNGACUCACGGGAAGAUAUCACAACACAACUCUAGACACAAAUAAAAUAACAUCAGCUUCAUAUUACAAGCCAGGGGCCUCGAGGGCUAGAAUACGAAAGCUCGAUAAACACACGAGUCAGCGGAAGCAACAAAAUCUGAGUACAGACAUAAAACAUGGGGUGCCUUAGAGAAGGCUAGCACAAAAGAUACAACGAUCGAAUGAGGCGAGGCCUCCUACCUGGGAACCUCCUAACUACUCCUGAUCAUCAGCGGCCUCCACGUAGUAGUAGGCACCGUCGGGGUAGGAGUCGUCGUCGGCGGGAACCUCCAUCUCCUGGGCUCCAUCAUCUGGUCGCAGCAACGGAUCGAGGGGACAAGAGGGGGAGCAAAGCAGAAGUGAGUACUCAUCCAAAGUACUCGCAAGUCUUACAUCAGAACUAUUAUAAUUAUGCAUCAGUAUCAAAGAAGGGGGGGCUAUAUGUGGACUGACUGCAGCAAUGCGAGAAUAAAGAGAGAAGGCCUAGUCCUAUCGAAGACUAGCAUCUUCAGGGUCUUGCAGCAAUAGACGAGAGUAGAACAGGGGUAACACAUUAAAAGUCAUAUUGUUGCAGCAAUAUUAAAGUGAGGUCAUGCCUAAAGAUCCUCCCUCGACUCCCUGCGAGGAAGCAAUCCCGAGGCAAACUAAUUCCAGUUAAGUAACAAUUGUAGUUGUAUAAGAUCGGGGCACAACUCCAAGUCGUCCUNNNNNNNNNNNNNNNNNNNNNNNNNNNNNNNNNNNNNNNNNNNNNNNNNNNNNNNNNNNNNNNNNNNNNNNNNNNNNNNNNNNNNNNNNNNNNNNNNNNNAGUUGCUACUCAUGCUAAGUGGUUUCAACUAUUUACUGUGACAAAAUCAGGUCAUGCAAAGGAAUGGGUUCAACUACCGAUAACAUGUACAGUUGAAUCGUGUUUGUCCUAACGCAGUAAAAGAGAGCAGGAGCGAGAGAGUGGGUUUAUUUCAAUAUGCUCAAGGGGGUUUGCUUGCCUGACACGUCUGAAGAUAGCAAUGAGUCUUCAUCAAUGUCAACGAUCACAUCGUCGGAAACAUCGUUUACCGAGAGGGAACAACACCGGCAAACAAGAAGGAACAACAAUUACUUCACAGAAAUGCAACACUAUGAUGCAUGCUCAAGACAUGAAAUGAAAGGUGGCAGGCCUAAUGUGGCUAUCAUUACUUAAAUUGAAGUUGGUUUGAAUUAGGAUCCAAACAUCACUUCAAGCCGGUUAUUUUUCCGGAUACCCUUUUAAUUGAUUCAACCUGAAGCUCAAAACAAAUUGUUCCAACAUGUAUGGAGUUAGUAUCUUGAGGUACUGAUUUGCAUUGACCCUUGUUUGGUCAUAACAAUUGAAGUGAAAAUCAAAUAAGUAUCAAUUUCCAACUCCAAACUAUUUAUUAAAUUUACCCUAUUCAUCAUUUUGCCUAUUUAGUGUUGUUAACUUUUUCAAACAUGCAUGAAAAUGCCAUAAUCAGAUUCCUUGGAUUUUUCUGAUACUUUUUCAUAUAUAAAUUAUUUUCAUCCGAGUUAUAUUUUAAUUUCUAUGAUUUUUACAAGUUUUAGCAAUUUCCUGGAUUUAUUUUAUAAACAGAAAUACUAAUAUUGCAUCAGUACUGACGUCAGCAGGUCAACUGGCCGGCCAGGUCAAACCCUGACCAGUGGGGCCCACUGGUCAGUGACCCAGAGGCUAACCCCGCGCUGACCAGCCCCUAAUUGGGGUUUGACCAGGCGUGGGGCCCUCUGGCAGUGGCUCUGGGGGGGGGGGUUAGUACUGGCUAACGACUGGCCACGUUGGCCCUCACCGGAGGGUGGUCGUUGGCGACCAAGCCCGCGGCGGAGGGCUCGCCGGAGUUGCCUAGAUGGCACUACAGGGGCCGGAAACAAGCGCUGAGAGCACUUGGGCGUAGCCCAGGCUCGACCACAUCGCACAGGGGGCUCGAAGGGGGGGCUAGGUCGCCGGAGAGGCGCCGGCGACGAGCCUAAGCGGCGACGGGGUUCGGCCGUGGCGGGGAGCGGGGCUACGGGGCAUGGGAGAACGUGGAAAUAGAGGGGAAAUGACGGCGAGCUCACGACGGUUCCAUUUGCGGUGACGGGGAGGUCGGGAUCGCGUCGGAGGGGUUGAAUCGAUGGAAGGGGGCCGGUGGCCGGAGGUGAGGAAGACAAUGGCGAUGGCGACGACAGGGGUCAUCCGGGCUCGAUUCCAAUGGCGAGGAGGAGCAGGGCAUCGGGGCGGUCCUUCUGGGCUUCUCGGAGAGGCGAGGGAAGGCCGGAGACCAGAGAGGCGAGCUCGAGCUCUAGCUCGGCAAUGGAGGCAACGAGGGAAAGCAGAGAGAGAGAAGGGGAACCUAGAGAGAGGAGAGGAGGAUGAGCUCAAGGGGGGGUCUGGGGCAUCCACGGGCGAGGAGAUAAGGACGGGGGCGAGCAGGAGGUGGCUAGGGGACGUGGCGGUGCCCGGCGAUGCGUCGGGCACGCAACUGCUUCUCCUCCUGGCAGGAGGAAGAAUACAGUGGUGCCCCUGAUGGGCUGGGCCGCUUCAGGUGAGCGCAGGUAAGUUUCUCUCUCUCUCUUUUCCUAUUUUUCUUUUAUUUUCUUUCUGGCAUUUAGAUUUAGGAUUUUAAUAAAACAUUUAAUCAUUUUAUAAAACCCUAAAAUAGUAUUAUGUGACAGUAGUAAAAAUAAUCAAUGCCACAAANNNNNNNNNNNNNNNNNNNNNNNNNNNNNNNNNNNNNNNNNNNNNNNNNNNNNNNNNNNNNNNNNNNNNNNNNNNNNNNNNNNNNNNNNNNNNNNNNNNNAUUGAAUUCUUGGUUCUUGGUUAACUUUUCUGUGUGUGGGUUCUUAAGCUUAUGGUCUGUUGGGGAACAUUGCUGAGAAACAAAAAAUUUCCUACGCACACGCAAUACCUAUCCAUGGUGAUGAUCAUCUACCAGAGGGGAGAGUGAAUCUACAUACCCUUGUAGAUCGCUAAGUGGAAGCAUAUAUAACGCGUUUGAUGUAGUGGAACAUCUCCGCGAUUCAAAUCACAGCGUGUCCCGUGAUCUCAUCACGAUCCAUCCCGAUCUAGUGCCGAACGAACGACACCUCCGCGUUCAGCACACAUACAACUCGAUGACAAUCCCCACCUUGUUGAUCCAGCAAGAGGGGUGGAGAGGUAGAUGAGUUAUCCAACACGGAGGAAUGGUGGUGGUGAUGGUGGAUCUAUUCCAGCAGGGCUUCGCCUAAGCGUUGCUGAAAAACCGAUCUAGAGGAAGAACAAAUCUAGAGAGAAGUAGAGGGAGCAUGUGGCAAUUAGGGUUAGCCCUCACCUUUAAAACCUCUAGUAUAUAUAGGAGGGAGGGAGGGGAUGAGGCAGCCUCAAACCCUCAAGGUUUGGCCGAAAUUGGAGGUGCAGAAGUCCUACUCCAAUCCCACCAAGGGUAGGAUUCCCCUUCUCCACUUGGAAACCCUUUCCACCUUUUCCACCUUUGGGUUUCUUUCCUUCCCACCUCCAAUCCGCCUUGGGCUUUAUGGAGGCUUCGUACAGCCCACUAAGGCCUGGUCCAGAUCCUCCCACAGCCCAUGAGACCCUUUGGGGUGGGUGGGCCCACCUGGUGGACCCCAGAAACCCAUUCGUCACUCCCGGUACACUACCGAAAAUGUCUGAAACUUUUCCGGAGUUCAAAAACCACUUUCCUAUAUAUCAAGAUUUACCUCCGGACCAUUUCGGAGCUCGUCGUGAUGUCCAGGAUCUCAUCUGGGACUCCGAAAAACCUUCGGUUACCAACACCUAUAACUCAACUAUACCGAAACGUCACCGAACCUUCAGUGUGCAGACCCUGCGGGUUCGAAAACUAUGCAUACAUGACCUAAGACACUCCCCAGUCAAUAACUGAUGACCCUCAAGUAUAGGGGACCUAUCGUAGUCCUUUCGACAAGUAAGAGUGUCGAACCCAACGAGGAGCAGAAGGAUCCGACAAGUGGUUUUCAACAAGGUAAUAUAUGCAAGCACUGAAAUUGUCGGUAACAAGUAGUUGUGUGGUGAGAUGAUUCGUAGCAAGCAACAAGUAACAAAAGUAGCAAUGGUGCAGCAAAGUGGCCCAAUCCCUUUUGUACAAGGGACAAGCCUGGACAAACUCUUAUAGGAGGAAAAACACUCCCGUGGACACACGGGAAUUUCUGUCAUGCUAGUUUUCAUCAUGUUCAUAUNNNNNNNNNNNNNNNNNNNNNNNNNNNNNNNNNNNNNNNNNNNNNNNNNNNNNNNNNNNNNNNNNNNNNNNNNNNNNNNNNNNNNNNNNNNNNNNNNNNNNNNNNNNNNNNNNNNNNNNNNNNNNNNNNNNNNNNNNNNNNNNNNNNNNNNNNNNNNNNNNNNNNNNNNNNNNNNNNNNNNNNNNNNNNNNNNNNNNNNNNNNNNNNNNNNNNNNNNNNNNNNNNNNNNNNNNNNNNNNNNNNNNNNNNNNNNNNNNNNNNNNNNNNNNNNNNNNNNNNNNNNNNNNNNNNNNNNNNNNNNNNNNNNNNNNNNNNNNNNNNNNNNNNNNNNNNNNNNNNNNNNNNNNNNNNNNNNNNNNNNNNNNNNNNNNNNNNNNNNNNNGAUCUGAACAUAAACUCUUCCACCAAGUAAUCCAACUAGCAUCAACUACAAAGAGUAAUUAACACUACUAGCAACCUUACAAGUACCAAUAGGAGUCGCGAGAUGGAGAUUGGUUACAAGAGAUGAACUAGGGUUUGGAGAUGAGAUGUUGCUGAUGAAGAUGUUGAUGGUGAUGAGUCCCCUCCGAUGAGAGGAGUGUUGGUGAUGACGAUGGCGACGAUUUCCUCCUCCGGGAGGGAAGUUUCCCCGACAGGAUCGUCCUGCCGGAGCUCUAGAUUGGUUCUGCUCAAGUUCCGCCUCGUGGUGGCGGCGAAUCCUCCGAAAAGCCUCUUCGUGAUUUUUUCCAGACCGAAACCCUUCUUGUAGCAAAAGAGGGGGGCAAGUGGGCUAGCAGGGAGCCCACAAGCCCCCUAGGCGCGGCCAGGGGGGUGGCCGCGCCUAGCAGGCUUGUGGCCACUUGCUGGCGCCCCUGUGGCACUUCUUCGGCCCAGUAUUUUUUAUAAAUCCCAAAAAAAACCAUGUUGAUUUUCGGCUUUUGGAGUUGCGCAGAAUAGGCAUAUCAAACUUGCUCAUUUUUAGGCCAGAAUUCCAGCUGCCGGCAUUCUCCCUCUUCAUGUAAACCUUGCAAAAUAAGAGAGAAAAGGAAUAAGUAUUGUACCGUGAAGUGAAAUAACAGCCCAAAAAGCGAUAAAUAUCAACAUGAAAGCGUGAUGCAAAAUGGACGUAUCAACUCCCCCAAGCUUAGACCUCGCUUGUCCUCAAGCAAAAGCCUAGAUCAAUAAACAUGCCCACAUGUUUAGGGAGAGAGGUGUCGACAAAACAAGAUACGAACAUGCGGGCAUCAUGAUCAUGAUCAGAACAGCAAUACCAUCAUAUCAUCUCUUAUGCUAAAGUGACAAUUCAUUCACAAAGUAAAGUAUGGAUCAAGAACCUUACUGAGAAUUAACAACCGAUGGCCUUUAGUCAUUGAAGCAAUUGCAAUUUAUCACAACAUCAGAAAGAGUCAAAUAAGAGCUUGUAAAGCAAUCCACAUACUCAAUCAUCCUUUCGUUCUCUACAAUUGCUACAACUCACGUGGUACUCAUGAGAUCAAAGUUUCAGUUGGACACACAGAAAGAUAGGGGCUUAUAGUUUUGCCUCCCAACUGCUUACCUCAAGGGUAAUGUCAACAAUAAUAAUUCAUGAAUACUUACUUCCAAGUUGACAUAUGAAUAUAGAUCUUUCCCUAGCAUAUGACGUUAGCCAAGAUAAAGGAGAAAUAAGGAAUUGGUGAAGAUCACCAUGACUCUUUCAAGGGCAAAAAGUAAAGGUACAAGAUAGGCCCUUCGCAGAGGGAAGCAGAGGUUGUCAUGCGCUUUUGAGGUUUGGAUGUGUGUCCUCUUAGUGCGGAGGAACGUCACUUUAUAUUGCCUCCUGUGAUAAAGAACUUUAUUAUGCAGUCUGUCGCUUUUAUGUCUUCCUCAUCACAGGUUCGUACAAAGCUUAUUUCCACACACUAAUAGAUCAUACAUAUUUGGGAGCAAUUUUUAUUUCUUGCACCGAUGACAACUUACUUGAAGGAUCUUAUUCAAUCCAUAGGAAGGUAUGGUGGACUCUCAUGGCAAAACUGGGUUGAAGGUUUAUGGAUGCACAAGUAGUAUCUCUACUUGGUGCGGGAGUUUUGGCUAAUAUGAGGUGGAAGCAAUCGUCACAUGCUAAGGGAUCUCUAAUCAUAUAACAUUGUUCAGAACCAAGCAAACACAAUUCAUUAUGUUGUCUUCCUUGGACAACAUCUACUUCUAAGCAUGCAAUAGUUUAGUGAGUGUCCACAAUCAUAGAUGGUGUCAAAGAUGAGAUAUUUAUAUGUGAACCUCUCCUUCUUUAUCACUUCCUUUUAAUUGCAACAAUGACCAAGGUCUACGUUUGUCUACCCUCAACAAGUUUCAAUCAUCAUUCUUUUUAUAUGUGGAGCCAUCACUUCCCAUAAGAUCAUUACAUGAUCUUUCAUGCUUUUGUUCUUUUCUCAUCCUUUUGAUCAUGACAAGAGACAAAGCCCUUAACCAAGACACUCUUUAUUAUAUGGCUCACGAGCUCGAAUACAUCAGGGGUGACACAAAGCAAAACUCAAGCCUAAAACACUAAGACUUUUAUUCUACUAGAGAAAGAGAAAACUUAAAAGGAACAAACUAAAACAAAGGUAAAGGCAAAAGAGGUGAUGGUGAUACGAUUCCGGGGCAACUCCCCCAAGCUUGGCACAAGCCAACGGGAUUGCCCAUACCCAUGCUCAGUUGUCUUUCUUUGGAGGUGAUGGUGGUGGAGUUGUUGCAAUCUUUGAUUCCAAGAGGGCCAUUAAUCUUUAAUUUAUACCUUGGAGAUCUGUGAUAUGUUCCUCCAGCAAAACAACUUCACGAGCGAGAUAAGUAUUGCGAGCAUGAGUUGUUUCACAAGACCUCAAGAGUUCAAUCAAGGAUGGAGACAGUAGGUGGAAGUAGGGUUGGAGGAAAUCCACUUCUUCAACUUCUUCCUUGUUGAGCACAGAUUGCACUUCAUCCCACGCCUGAUUCUUCUCCUUAGUUUUGCCCUUGGUUUCUUUAGCUAGCCUUUACUUAGCCUCCAUGACCUCCAUCCUUUUUAGAUCAACACUUACUUCUCCAUAAACUUGAGGGAGAUUGUUCUCCCCCACAGAUUCCUGAGACAACAUCUUGCUCUAAAUUUGCGACAGAAAACAGGCUCGAAAUGAAAACAGAGGAAAUCUGCAUGAUACAAGGGUCAGACCUUUCGGGAGAUUAUAUAAUGAUUCUUUUCAGACCAGAAAGAGUACUCCGCACGAAAAUGGAGUCCGGGAGGCACACAAGGUGGCCAGAAGCCCCCCCAGGCGCGGCCAGGGGGUGGGCCCGCGCCUGGCAGGCUUGUCGCCUCCUCGCACGCUUUCCGGACUACUUCCAAUUUUUCUAUUUUUUCAAAUAUUCCAAAACGGAGAAAAAAAUCCUACUGGAAAAGUUUUGGAGUCUGUUUUCUUACCGAAUCACAUACCUCUUCGUUUUUGGAGUCUCGAACAGGCUGAUAAAUAUCCCUUAGGUAUUCUUCCGGAGUUCUGGUAUUGAUAAUAUUGCUUUCAACAUUAAUGGGAGUACGUGAGAUAUAAUGCUUGAUUCUCUGUCCAUUUACCACUCUCGGACAAUCACCUUCCAUGUUGUUGAUCUUGAUAGCACCGGAACGAUAUACUUCCUCAACAAUAUAGGGAUCUUACCAUUUAGAGAGAAGCUUGCCUGCAAAAAAGUCUUAAACGAGAAUUAUAUAGCAAGACAUAAUCACCUACAUUGAACUCACACUUUUGUAUCCUCUUAUCAUGCCACCUCUUAACCUUUUCUUUGAACAACUUGGCAUUCUCAUAUGCCUGAGUUCUCCAUUCAUCAAGCGAGCUAAUGUCAAAUAACCUCUUCUCACCAGCAAGUUUGAAAUCAAAGUUGAGCUCUUUGAUUGCCCAAUAAGUUUUAUGCUCUAGCUCAAGAGGUAAAUGACAUGCUUUACCGUACACCAUUUUGUACGGAGACAUGCCCAUGGGAUUCUUAUAGGAAGUUCUAUAAGCCCGCAGUGCAUCAUCGAGCUUCUUAGACCAAUUCUUUCUAGACCUGUUGACAGUAUUUUGCAGAAUCAGUUUAAUCUCUCUAUUGCUUAGCUCUGCUUGACCACUGGACUGAGGGUGAUAGGGAGACGCAAUUCUAUGGUUGACAUCGUACUUAGCAAGCGUUUUACGGAAAGCACCAUGAAUGAAAUGUGAACCACCGUCGGUCAUUAGAUAUCUAGGGACUCCAAAUCAAGGGAAAAUAACUUCUUUAAGCAUCCUGAUAGAGGUGUUGUGAUCAACACUACUAGUGGGGAUAGCUUCUACCCACUUAGUGACGUAGUCAACAGCAACUAGGAUAUGAGUAUACCCGUUGGAUUUUGGAAAAGGUCCCAUAUAAUCAAAGCCCCAAACAUCAAAUGGUUCAAUGACAAGUGAAUAGUUCAUAGGCAUGUCCUGACGUUUACUGGUAUUACCUAUUCUUUGACAUUCGUCACAAGACAAGACAAAUUUACGAGCAUCCUUGAAGAGAGUGGGCCAAUAGAAACCUGAUUGCAAUACCUUGUGUGCAGUUCUAUCUCCCGCAUGGUGUCCUCCGUAGGCCUUGGAGUGACACUUCUGUAGGAUUUGUCCCUGUUUAUGUUCAGGUACACAACGUCUAAUAACACCAUCUACUCCUUCCUUAUAAAGGUGAGGAUCAUCCCAAAAGUAAUGUCUCAAGUCAAAGAAGAAUUUCUUCUUUUGCUGGUAUGUGAAACUAGGUGGUAUAUAUUUGGCAACGAUAUAGUUUGCAUAAUAAGCAUACCACGGUGCACUACGUGAAGCAUUGAUGACACUCAAUUGCUCACCGGGAAAGCUAUCAUCAAUAGGUUGUGGGUCAUCAAGAAUGGUCUCCAACCUAGACAAGUUAUCUGCUACUGGGUUAUCAGCACAAAACAAAACAAAAGAAAAAGAGGAAAUUAGAAAGAGGAAAUAAUAGANUUCAACAUGAAAGUUGAUCAGCACAACGAGACGAACCCGGAUACACGGUCCAUUCGUGUGUCACGCGUCCCUAGCAUAGCAAACAUGGAACAUUUCCAUCGUUUCUAGUAUGACCGGUAGUAGCCCGAGACCCGAAAAAUAUUGUCAGAUAUUCUUCCGACCCGUCUAUGACGGAUGUUGCUGCGUUAGCUCAUGUCUAGCCUACAUCUUGCCAUGUCAUGCUUUGUGUUGCACCAUUGCUAUUAUUUAUUGUUUCUUCCCCCUCUUCUUACCGGUAGACCCCGAGACUGACGCUGCUGCUGGGUACAUCUACGACCCUGCCGAUCAGUCCUUUGCCGCAGAGCAGCAAGGCAAGCAAACCCCCCUUGAUCAUUCCUAUAUUGCCUAUGUCUUUCUUCCUACUGCUUGCAUUAGUAUUUUGCUAUUGUUGUAGUUAGCUCCUAUAUCUGAUGCAUAGCCUAUUUUUGAUGAACUGCUACUUUCAGUCCUGUACUUUAAAUCUGCUUAGUAUAGGUGGAGCAGUCAUCCCCUCUGACCCCGUAGUCCAGUUGCCCCGCUUGUUUUCAAAUCUCGAUCUCUGAUCGACGAGCCAGACCUGACACAACACUUACACCCCCUUCGUUGUACGAUGCUACAAGGAUACUAUCGGGUACCGAGGGUGACACCUCGCUAAGUACUCCUGAUGAUAUCUCUGUAGUAUAGCUAGUCGGUCGUGGUUAUCGAGGGUGAUUCCUCUUUCACCAUUCCCAAUGAUGCCUCUGUCGUGCAACCCCUCAAGUGUGGGACCCCCAAGGGUGAUUCCUCUAAGCCCACCUUGACGGGUACAUCAUUCGGAAUCCAACUAGGGUGAUACCUCGGAUCCCCCCCGAUGUUACAACCACACAGUUACUCGACCAUGUUACUGGGAUCGUUGAUGUUUAGUUGUAAGACGGGUGGAUUCCCGUGAGACUGUGUUGUUGGCCUAAUUAAAAUGUUAAUGGAUUUGGGUAUUUGAUCUGGGUUGGUUGGAGACCUUUUCGCACUAACCUGCUACGUGGGAAGAAUUAUGGGUACUCGGCGUCACGGUAUCAGCCGAAGCUUUUCAGAUGUCAGCAAUCGUAGUGGCGCAUGCCCGAGUGGUCUCGAGAUGCAUUGCGCUUGUGAUUAAGGGAUGCUAGGACUGACGUUGGCCGCCCUCGCAUCGUGCAGGAGCGCGGAGGGGAACUGGGCCCAUGAACCCUUUGCGCUUAGGAUUUAGACCGGCGGGCUGACCUCUCUGAUUAGUCUUAGGUGGGGCUGCGACGUGUCGAUAUUCCGAGGCCGGGCAGGACCCAGAAAAGUAUGUCCGGCCAGAGUGUUAUCGAGCGUGACAGGACAUGUGGUGCACCCCUGCAGGGAUGAAAAUUAACUAUUCGGAUAGUCGUGUCCACGGUUAUAGGACGACUUGGAGUUGUGCCCCGAUCUUAUACAACUACAAUUGUUACUUAACUGGAAUUAGUUUGCCUCGGGAUUGCUUCCUCGCACGGAGUCGAGGGAGGAUCUUUAGGCAUGACCUCACUUUAAUAUUGCUGCAACAAUAUGACUUUUAAUGUGUUACCCCUGUUCUACUCUCGUCUAUUGCUGCAAGACCCUGAAGAUGCUAGUCUUCGAUAGGACUAGGCCUUCUCUCUUUAUUCUCGCAUUGCUGCAGUCAGUCCACAUAUAGCCCCCCCUUCUUUGAUACUGAUGCAUAAUUAUAAUAGUUCUGAUGUAAGACUUGCGAGUACUUUGGAUGAGUACUCACUUCUGCUUUGCUCCCCCUCUUGUCCCCUCGAUCCGUUGCUGCGACCAGAUGAUGGAGCCCAGCAGAUGGAGGUCCCCGCCGCCGACGACUCCUACCCCGACGGUGCGUACUACUACGUGGAGGCCGCUGAUGAUCAGGAGUAGUUAGGAGGUUCCCAGGCAGGAGGCCUCGCCUCGUUCGAUCGUUGUAUCUUUUGUGCUAGCCUUCUCUAAGGCACCCCAUGUUUUAUGUCUGUACUCAGAUUUUGUUGCUUCCGCUGACUCGUGUGUUUAUCGAGCUUUCGUAUUCUAGCCCUCGAGGCCCCUGGCUUGUAAUAUGAAGCUGAUGUUAUUUUAUUUGUGUCUAGAGUUGUGUUGUGAUAUCUUCCCGUGAGUCUUUGGGUUUGAUCGUACACAUUUGCGUAUAUGAUUAGCAUAUGAUUAAAUCGAGGGCGUCACAAGUUGGUAUCAGAGCCGACUGCCUCUAGGUAGCCCCCUUUCCAACUCCUUGGCCGAAGUUUAGUCCAGUGUUUGAAAUACUUUACUAACACUGAUGUUGUGCCUUACGGGCCCACAUCUCAAUUGGGUGGUAUUAGUAUCUUUUACUCCUUCCUAUACUCUGGGUUCUACUCUCUCUUCUCUUUCGGGUCAAAGAUUUUACUAACUCUAACAUUAGGUUCUCGAAUCACAUCGACCCGGAGCGCUGGACUAUCUACUCUUUCUCCUGAAUAUAUAUUACACACACUGUCUUUUGACAUCCGUCAAUCUUAUUUUCAGAUGCGUCCUGCAAGACAGCACGUGCGCCUGACACAGGCCAAUGAGACGACUGGGUUCCCGGCCAUUUUGGUCGACCUCCUGACCAGGCUGGGAUAUCGCUGGUACCCCGAGUACACUGUGUUCGAGGAUUUCCGCGAGUACAACCAGUACCAGUACCAGGAUGAGGUUCGCAUCUUCGACCAGAGGGGAGGCAAGACCCUCGAGCGCCACGUCUUCUGUGGUAUUGGAGUGUCGGUCGAGAUGGCCGUCCAUGAUGUGGCCUACAUCGCCAUCACCUGUCUCCAUGGAGCGUACCCUCACCUGGAGGAGAGCCCUUUCAGAUACAUCCCGCAUGCUCCUGCUUGGGAUGAGACUGGGUCUGAUCUCACUGCCUACGCUUCUGAAGUUCGGGAGCGCAUCGACCGUUCCUACGUCGCUGUCUGCGCCCCCUACGUGACGCGUCGCUACGACGCACGGUUUCUGGUGCAGUACACUCAGGCAAUGGAUCGUGCUUUCCGAGCUCUAACUGUGGAGCUGUAUGCUACGCGCGCUCGUCUUUACGACGCGUUGACAGAGCUGCAACCAUCACACUGCCCGAGGGUUCCCCCCUAUGCGCAUCCGCGAGCCGAGCAGGACAGAGCUACCAUCAGCUCUCGAGUGGACUGAUGUUGGGGGUAGAAACCCUGCACUUGGACCUCAGCUCCUCGACUGGAUGCGGUACCCUCACCAGAGUCACAACGGGACACAGGGUCCUGUUACUACCUUCUAUCACCGCCAGCUACCAGGAUUCGAUCGUCCUCUCCGACGUUGAUGUAGCCUUAUCGCUACAUCUUGUUGUGGUACUCUUCCACCGCGUGCCUGCGCGCCGCCUAGUGAGUCCAGGGUAUCGUCUAAUGCGUCUGGGCUAUCGCAAAAUUUCGAAUUUGUAAUCGUUAGUCUGUACUCGAACUUAUGUGUGGGUCUGUAUGUCGAACUCAACUACUAUGGAGUAACUAUCGCAUUUCCCUUUCAUUAUGCUUGAUUACUUCGUGAAUGUGUGCGAUGCCUUUGCAAUUACUUUAAGCUAAACUACCCCUGUUAAAUAUUUAACAGGAUGGUUAGACCAGCUGGCCGCCCGCGUGCCCCUGCCAACGAUGCACCACCCCCGCCUCCUGAGUAUAUGGCGGGGAUGAUCCAACAGUUUGAGCUGAACCGUCAGUUUAUGCAAGGGCUCAUGGAUCAGUUCCAAAGGCCGAACAUGAACCAACCACAAGGCGUGACACUGCAAGACUUCUGCCGCCUCAACCCUGCGAUCUACCGCAGCUCAACUCAGCCUCUUGAUGCCGAUGACUGGCUCCGUGACAUUUCUUAUGAGCUGGAGUGUGCCAAUGUGCCCCAGGCGAGCUAUGUCAACUUUGCCGCCUACUUUCUGAAGGGUCCCGCUGCUCAAUGGUGGGACAGCCACAGGCGCUCUCAGCCCGAUGGAACUAUCAUCACUUGGGCAGAGUUCAAGGCUCCUUUCCGUGCUCGCUACAUUCCCUAGGGAAUCAUGGACUAGAAGAAGCGUGAGUUCCGCAACUUGGUCCAGGGCAACAAGACUGUGGAUGCUUAUCAGCGGGAAUUUCUCGACUUAUCUCGCUAUGCUGAAGAAGACAUUGCAACUGAUGCACGCAGGCAGGAGAAGUUCCGUGAAGGCCUCCACCCUGAUAUCAAGCUGACACUCCUCGUUCAGGACUAUGCUGAUUUCGCCACCCUGGUGAACAAGGCUAUUCAGGUUGAGACUGGUCUGCAGGAAUACAAAGAUAGCAGCAAGCGCAACCGUGACAUGGGCUCAUCUUCGGGCUCAUGUGCACAGAAGCGAAAGAUCUGGAUUCCCAACAACAUGUACCAUGCACCUGCUCCUGCUCCGAGGCUGUCCUAUGCUGCACCUCGCCUACCUCCUCCACCACCUAGGCAGCCGAGGCUUCCAGCUCCACCGCCUCGAGUUCCUCCUUCCCGUCCUGAGGACGGGCUGUGCUUCAAGUGUGGCCGUCCAGGUCACCGUGCUAGAGACUGCAGGCAGAAUCCGAAUCAGCUGACACUUCCCGCAACUGGCAGUGGCAACAACCAGAACCGCAACUUCAACGCUAAGCCUGCUUAUGUUCGUGGUCAGGCCAACAACAUUGAUAUGGGUCAAGCUCAAGACCAGCCUACUACCGUGAUGGGUACACUUCUCGUUAACUCAGUACCUGCUUCUGUAUUGUUUGAUACAGGAGCAUCACAUUCCUUUAUGUCGGAAAGUUUUGCAUUCAUGCAUGGCAUUAAGUACGAAGAGAUGAACGUCCCAAUAGUUGUAAACACCCCCUCGGGCCAAUGCCGACCCUCCAUGGUCUGCUCCAAUGUCCCAUUGAAAUUGAAGGAUUGGAAUUCUUUGCCUCUCCCAUGUUAUUAAGUUCUUCCAACAUUGAUCUCAUACCGGGGAUGGACUGGUUUAAAGCUCAUACGGCAUCGGUCGUUUGUGCCACCAAGACCGUCCACCUCCUACACCCUUCAGAUGAAUUAAUAAGCUACCAUGCUCAUCUCGUCCGUAAUGCUGAGGCACGGUUGUAUGCUUUGAAUGCAUUAAAUGCGUCGCCUCUUGAAGGGAUUGAAAACAUCCCAGUGGUCCGAGAAUUUCAAGAUGUCUUCCCAGAAGAACUUCCGGGGAUUCCCCCUACUCGAGCUGUCGAGUUUGUCAUUGACUUGGUACCCGGUACCACUCCUAUUGCAAAGCGCCCUUAUAAAAUGCCACCACAUGAACUCCUUGAACUUAAGCAAGAAAUUGACAACUCGCUCCGUCUGGGUUUCAUCCGUCCGAGUUCCUCUGCUUGGGGAGCACCUUCUCUCUUUGUUAAGAAGAAGGAUGGGACAAAUCGAUUGGUUCAAGACUAUCGUCCUAUCAACCAGGCCACUAUUCAAAACAAAUAUCCUCUCCCUCGGAUAAAUGAUUUGUAUGAUCAACUUGCUGGUUCCACCGUCUUCUCUAAGCUCGACUUGAGGUUGGGAUACCACCAGAUCCAUGUUCGCAAGGAGGAUAUUCCAAAGACCGCCUUUGUUACUCGAUAUGGAUCAUACGAGUACACCGUCAUGUCCUUCGGCUUAACCAAUGCACCGGCAACCUUCUCUCGAUUGAUGAAUUAUAUAUUCAUGGACUACCUCGACAAAUUUGUCAUGGUAUAUCUGGAUGAUAUUCUGGUAUUUUCGAAGAACAAAGAAGAGCAUGCUGAACAUCUUCGUCUUGUACUGGAUAAGCUUCGGGAGCAUAAACUCUAUGCGAAGUAUUGCAAAUGUGAGUUCUGGCUAGACGAAGUGACUUACCUUGGUCAUGUGAUUUCCAAGGAUGGUAUUGCGGUCAACCCCGAACGAAUUCAAGCUAUUCUUGUCUAGACUCCCCCGAAGAAUGUUAAGCAAGUCAGAAGUUUUCUCGGACUCGCCAGCUAUUGCCGUCGAUUUGUCGAGAACUUCUCCAAGAUUGCGAAGCCCUUAACCAAUCUGCUUCACAAAGGUGUUAAGUAUGAGUGGACUGAUAAAUGUCAGGAAAGUUUCCAGGCGCUCAAGGACAAACGUACGUCCGCUCGAGUACUUGCUCCUCCAGAUACGAAAAGGGAUUUCGUCAUAUACUGUGAUGCUUCUCGUCAAGGAAUAGGUUGUGUCCUAAUGCAGGAUCGCAAGGUGAUCGCUUAUGCUUCACGUCAACUGCGUGCUCAUGAAGAGAACUACCCAGUUCAUGAUCUCGAGCUUGCCACAGUCAUUCAUGCAUUGAAGGAAUGGUGACAAUACCUUGUCGGUAAUCGCUGUGAAAUCUACACCGACCAUCAAAGUCUGAAGUACUUGUUCACUCAACCGGAGCUGAACCUACGUCAACAAAGAUGGAUGGAGCGUAUAGCAGAUUUUGACUGUAGUAUAUCAUAUACCCCUGGCAAGGCUAACAUAAUGGCUGAUGCCUUGAGUCGCAAGUCAUACUGCAACCACCUCCAGGUUCAUAAGGUUCACGAUCGUCUGCAAGAGGAAUUCCGUAAGCUGAACCUCCACGUUGUUCCUCAGGGUUACCUUGUUCCCCCUCCUGAAGAGUGUCAAAAUAUGAACCUUCGUGUUGUUAAUCAGGGUUCCCUCAGUAACCUAGUGGUUGAACCAGAUCUUGUGAGCUCCAUAAAGAAUCUGCAAGGCUUUGACGAUGAUGUCGACAUGAUUAAGAGCUAUAUUGCGAAGGGUAAACCCUCCUUUUUCACUGUUGAUGAAGAUGGCGCCUUGUAUUUCAAGGGUCGCCUAUUCGUCCCAAAUAAGAAGGAAAAUCUCAGGAUGACCGGGAAGGUGAUGGAAGAAGCUCAUGACACACCAUUGUCUAUUCACCCGGGUAGUACCAAGAUGUACCAAGACAUCCGGCAAAGAUUCUGGUGGCCCAAUAUGAAACAAGACAUUGCAUGCUAUGUGGCAGAAUGUGAUAUAUGUCGGCGUAUCAAAGCAGAACACCAAAAGCCUGCUGGGACUCUGCAACCUAUCUCUAUUUCGGAGUGGAAAUGGGACCAUGUUGAAAUGGACUUUGUCACUGGUUUUCCCAGAUCUCAGAAAGGUAAUGAUGCUAUUCUUGUCGUCAUUGAUCGACUGUCCAAAGUUGCACAUUUCCUGGCCGUCAAAGAAACAAUUAAUGCUAGUCAGCUGGCAGAUCUUUAUAUGUCAAGAGUUGUUUCACUUCACGGUAUUCCGUUGGUAAUCAGUUCGGACCAUGGCAGCUUGUUCACUUCAAAAUUCUGGGAAAGUUUUCAGAAGGCUAUGGGGACUCAUCUGUCCUUCAGCACUGCAUUUCAUCCUCAAUCCCAGGGACAAGUUGAACGAGUCAACCAAAUUCUCGAGGACAUGCUUCGAGCUUGUGUCAUUUAUUUCGGUAAGAAAUGGGAGGAAUAUCUCCCGUAUGCCGAGUUCUCUUACAACAAUAGCUAUCAAGCUAGUCUGAAGAUGGCCCCUUUCGAAGUAUUGUAUGGGCGAAGGUGUCGAACUCCUCUGAAUUGGUCAGAAAUUGGGGAACGAUCACUCUUCGGUCCAGAUAUUAUUCAACAUGCCGAAGAUCAAGUCUGCAUUAUUCAUGAGAAUCUGAAGGCUGCUCAGUCUCGUCAGAAGAGUCAGUAUGACCGUCAUCAUCAAGAUAUGGUCUAUCAACCUGGCGAAAAGGCUUAUCUUCGUGUCACACCAAUGAGAGGUGCACACCGUUUCGGAAUCAAGGGCAAGUUAGCUCCUCGUUAUAUUGGUCCUUUCACUGUUAUCGAAAGGCGUGGAAGAGUGGCUUAUCAAUUGGAACUGCCGGCGAACCUUUCUCAGGUUCACGAUGUCUUCCAUGUUUCUCAGCUCCGUCGCUGCUUCAAGGACCCUAUUCGAGCAGUGGAUCACGAUAUGCUUGAGCUACAACAAGACCUCUCUUAUAAAGAGCAUCCGGUCCGCAUUCUUGACCAAGCUGAACGUAAGACUCGUCGCAAGGUCACCAAGUUCCUUAAGGUGCAGUGGUCAAAUCACUCUGAAGAUGAAGCCACUUGGGAACGCGAGGAUCAUCUUAGUGAUGAAUACCCCAGGCUCUUUCCCUCUACCUCUUAAUUCUCGGGACGAGAAUUCUUGUUAGUAGGGGAGAAUUGUGACAUCCUCGACUUUUGCUACAGUAAAUAUUGUAAUUAAGCUACAGUGAUCACCCGCUAAUGAUGCCACAUCAUCGAGAAUUACCGUCGUUGACCCGCAUUGAAUUUCUAUCCGGAUUCAGAAAUUGAAAACAAAAGAAAAGUAUAUUUAUAAAUUCAUAUUAACUAUUAAAGGAAGACAUGUAUAGAAAGAAAGUAUUAAAAAUAAUAAUAAUAAAAGAAAGAAAAGAAAAGAAAUUAAAAAAAGGAAAUUAGAAAGAGGAAAUAAUAGAAAAAGAAAAAAAACAAAAAAAAAG